GAAUUCCUUCAUGCUUGGCAAGUAUUUACAAAAUCCAUAUCCCCCACACUGAUGUGAACCUUUAACUGAUGACUGCAGCCGUGUAGUUUGAGGGGUUUCUUGAUACAGACUGCUCCCUAUCUGUUCUCUGAUGUUUCGUCCGCGCCGCGCAGUGUGCCGACAGGUCAGCAGCGAGCCGCGGUGACGGGAUCUUCAGGCGCCGGCGCGAUAAUAUGAUGUCAUAGCGCCGGCCUGCCGUUGAUAGGCGACUCGUGAGAAAGAUCUUGCUUUAACUUCCACUGUUCCUGAUGACUUCCAUUUCUCAAUUACAUUACAAACAGAGGAUAUUGACAUCCGGAAACGUCAUCCUCUCACGUAAACAAAACAAGUCAUGU